UACAGAGGUCCCGAGCGUUGUUCGGAUUCACUGGGCGUAAAGGGUGCGUAGGUGGCGAGGUAAGUCGGAUGUGAAAGCUCGGAGCUCAACUCCGAAAUGGCAUUGGAAACUACCUUGCUCGAGGGUUGGAGGGGGGACUGGAAUACUUGGUGUAGCAGUGAAAUGCGUAGAUAUCAAGUGGAACACCAGUGGCGAAGGCGAGUCCCUGGACAACUCCUGACACUGAGGCACGAGAGCUAGGGGAGCAAACAGG
rnacentral:rRNA from 1 species